rnacentral:rRNA from 1 species
GAGCAAUUCGUGGAUGCCUUGGUAGGAAGAAGCGAUGAAGGACGUAGUACGUUGCGAUAAGCUUCGGGGAGGAACGAACAUCCUUUGAUCCGAAGAUUUUCCGAAUGGGGAAACCUACUCAUUUUUGAGUAUCUUAGCUUGAAUACAUAGAGCUAAGAAGCGAACCUUGGGAACUGAAACAUCUAAGUACCAAGAGGAAAGGACAUUAAAAAAAGACUCCGCUAGUAGUGGCGAGCGAACGCGGACCAGGCCAGUAAAUUAGUAUUAAAAAAUCUGAAGGAGAUGGAAAGCUCCACUGUAAAAGGUGAUAGUCCUGUAGGAGUAAAAAGAUACUAGUUUCUCGAGCCCAGUAAUUCCGAUUAACGCUCGCACCCUACGUAUUACCGCGGCUGCUGGCACGUAGUUAGCCGGU